rnacentral:rRNA from 1 species
CCUACGGGAGGCAGCAGUGGGGGAUAUUGCACAAUGGGGGGAACCCUGAUGCAGCGACGCCGCGUGGGUGAAGGAGCGUUUCGGCGCGUAAAGCCCUAUCGGCAGGGAAGAAGGAGGACGGUACCUGACUAAGAAGCCCCGGCUAACUACGUGCCAGCAGCCGCGGUAAUACGUAGGGGGCAAGCGUUAUCCGGAUUUACUGGGUGGAAAGGGGGCGCAGACGGCAGCGCAAGCCAGGAGUGAAAGCCCGGGGCCCAACCCCGGGACUGCUCUUGGAACUGCGCGGCUGGAGUGCAGGAGGGGCAGGCGGAAUUCCUGGUGUAGCGGUGAAAUGCGUAGAUAUCAGGAGGAACACCGGUGGCGAAGGCGGCCUGUUGGACUGCGACUGACGUUGAGGCCCGAAAGCGUGGGGAGCAAACAGGAUUAGAUACCCCAGUAGUC